UACGUAGGGUGCGAGCGUUAAUCGGAAUUACUGGGCGUAAAGCGUGCGCAGGCGGUUUUAUAAGCCAGAUGUGAAAGCCCCGGGCUCAACCUGGGAAUGGCAUUUGGGACUGUAAGGCUGGGGUAUGGCAGAGGAGACUAGAAUUCCUGGUGUAGCAGUGAAAUGCGUAGAUAUCAGGAGGAAUACCGAUGGCGAAGGCAGGUCUCUGGGCCAAUACUGACGCUCAUGCACGAAAGCGUGGGGAGCAAACAGG
rnacentral:rRNA from 1 species